rnacentral:misc_RNA from 1 species
GUAGGUGAACCUGCGGAAGGAUCAUUAACAAAUCCCUGUUCAUUCUUGUAUUAUUAUUGUGGAGGCGUGGAUGGUGCAAUUCGUUCUCCAUUUCGCUUCUCCACAUCCAAUACAAGGAUAACACAAGUUCCAUGUUGCACUGUUUACAACAGCUGCACAUGACAUUUCUGCAAAUUAUCUGAUUACAUCAUUACAAAACAAAACAAAUAACUUUUAACAAUGGAUCUCUAGGCUCUU